UACGUAGGGACCGAGCGUUGUCCGGAAUCAUUGGGCGUAAAGAGCGUGUAGGCGGCCACUUAAGUCCUGCGUGAAAUCUUGCGGCUCAACCGCAAGCGGUCGUGGGAAACUGGGUGGCUAGAGUGCGGGAGAGGAGAGUGGAAUUCCCGUGUAGCGGUGAAAUGCGCAGAUAUCGGGAAGAACACCCGUGGCGAAGGCGGCUCUCUGGGACGGUACUGACGCUGAGACGCGAAAGCGUGGGGAGCGAACAGG
rnacentral:rRNA from 1 species